AACGAACGCUGGCGGCAGGCUUAACACAUGCAAGUCGAACGCAUCCUUCGGGGUGAGUGGCAGACGGGUGAGUAACGCGUGGGAACGUGCCCUUCAGUUCGGGAUAACCCAGGGAAACUUGGGCUAAUACCGGAUACGUGCGAGAGCAGAAAGAUUUAUCGCUGAAGGAUCGGCCCGCGUCUGAUUAGCUAGUUGGUGGGGUAAUGGCCCACCAAGGCGACGAUCAGUAGCUGGUCUGAGAGGAUGAUCAGCCACAUUGGGACUGCGACACGGCCCAACCGCCUACGGGAGGCAGCAGUGGGGAAUAUUGGACAAUGGGCGCAAGCCUGGUCCAGCCAUGCCGCGUGAGUGAUGAAGGCCUUAGGGUUGUAAAGCUCUUUCGUCCGGGACGAUAAUGACGGUACCGGAAGAAGAAGCCCCGGCUAACUUCGUGCCAGCAGCCGCCGUAA
rnacentral:rRNA from 1 species